AGAAACCCAAUUGCACCACUCUUCACUAGGUCAAAAACUGAAAAACGUCCUGCUCAAAGCUGGGUUUUGUAGUCAGUCUAAUGCUCUCUCUUUACAGAAUGUCUACAUGUUAUAGGACUUCUUGCAAGAGCAAAUGGAAUGAAAUUAAAUGUACCUAAAAUCGUUGCCAAAAUUAAAUUGCAACAAUGUCUCGAAGAAGUCUGAAGAGUGGCUGUUUGACAAUGAUGCUGUUUGCUGUUUAUUGAUGAAAUUAUUAUGUUUAUCUAAACAUGUAUAUGUAUCAACACUACUAUGCGAAAUUGUUGAAAGUGAUAAGGAAAAUUAACUCAGCAGCAUUGUGUUUAUUGCUAGACAAUUAGGUAGAAGAGGUGACGAGUUGGACAUUCUUACUGUAGAAGAGGCAUACGAACUUAUUAAUAUGACAGACAUUCUUUUGGAGAAAUGAUUAUAUAAAACUUUUUAAAAUAUGAUAAAAUAAAAUACCAUUACAUCGGUUUUAAUGAUCUCUUUUGACUUCCUGCAAGCGUCCAAUAGUAAUGACAUUGUGCAUUGAGUCGUCUGUCUGUCUGUCCGUCUCUGUCAUGAAAAAAAUCGGAUGAAUCGGAAAACAAACGUAAACUAGGAAACUGACAAAGUCAAGAAAACACACCAUUGGUCAUUUAAAAAAAAACAUGCUCCACAAGAAAAUCGAAAUUAAUGGAGAUUCUUCCAUUGGUAUUUAAAAAGGUUGUGUAUCCAUCAAAGCACAUUUAAGAUAGAUUGGUGAAUGAAUCUUAGAUAGACAGACCGAUGAAUAAAUAAUUUUGUAUCUUGCCUAGUAAUCAGUUAAAUGUAAAACCAUCUAUCGUACUUACUGCCAUUCUAAACCAUGUAAAUUGCUAUCUAUAUCCGUAUUUACUUUUCUUCUAUUAAAAUCAAAUUUAAUAUAUUGUUGUAAAAAAACAAAGACAAAAAUGCAUCGAUAUCUAUACAUAUAUUGGCAAACUGUGUGCACAACAAUUUUAAAGGCAUCGUUCUAUAAUUCAUCCAGAGUCCGUGUCUUAUUCUAAGUAAAAUAUGAAUGAAACGACAUCAUAGUAUAAGAAUCAGCAUGAGGUACGAGAUAUGUUCUUAAUACGCUAUUUGAUUUAUUAAUAUUUUUUUUUUUAUCUAAAAACAGCUAGUUGAAAAAAAUCAAAGAAACUGAAAAAAAACCGAAAACAUAAAACAAAAAAAUAAAAAUAAACAAAAAAAAUGGAAAUAAAGAUGCAUCUUGAUAGACAAUAGUCACAAUAGAAUAAUCAACAUUUCUGAGAUAUUUAUACUUUUUAUUAUUAUUUUUUUCACCUUUCCACGUGUAUUACAAGUUUACGUGCGAAACCGAUUCUCAGACAUGCUUUAAGAUGCAAUGAAAGGGUAUUCAUGAAAGUUAAUCGUAUAUAUAAACAUAGUAAUUUCGUUUUGAAUGGCAAGAGUAGUUAAAAAAAAUAAGUGUCCGCAAUUUGACGACAAGGUGUCCGUAUUUUAACUCCCUAUGUCCGCAUUUACACGACUGCGCAUUUCCGCGGGUUUUAAGUAUUUCCAAUCUACCAAUCAAGAGAGGUGACAUAAAAACGCGGGAAAUAGUCCGUUUGAUACCCCUCUAUCCUUUCCUGUCCAAUGCAACCACCAGUAUGUCCGCAAUUGGCCUCUACGGUAUCCAAACUUCCGGAUUUUAAAAAGUGUCCGCAAUUAGGCGAAUUUCCCCUAUGCAUAACUUUUCAUAAUUUAGCAUGAUAUGUUAUCAUGGAACCUUUCAUUCUACCAUGUCAAUUAUUAUAGUUGUAUGUAAUGCCAUAGGUCUUAACCAUUUAUUGUUAAUGAGUUUGUGCCAAUAAAAAUAUUUGUAUUUGUAUUUGU
rnacentral:lncRNA from 1 species